CAGGAUGAACGCUAGCGGGAGGCCUAAUACAUGCAAGUCGAACGGUAACAGGGCAGAACUUCGGUUCAGCUGCUGACGAGUGGCGCACGGGUGAGUAACGCGUACAUAACCUGCCUUCAAGAGAGGGAUAGCCCUGGGAAACUGGGAUUAAUACCUCAUGGUAUUGCUAAGUCGCAUGGCUAUGCAAUUAAAGUUUCGGCGCUUGAAGAUGGAUGUGCGUGCCAUUAGCUAGUUAGUAAGGUAACGGCUUACCAAGGCAACGAUGGCUAGGGGGCGUGAGAGCGUGACCCCCCACACGGGUACUGAGACACGGACCCGACUCCUACGGGAGGCAGCAGUAAGGAAUAUUGGACAAUGGAGGAAACUCUGAUCCAGCCAUCCCGCGUGCAGGAUGACUGCCCUACGGGUUGUAAACUGCUUUUAUUUGGGAAGAAACCUGUUUAUUUACUGAACAGUUGACGGUACCUUAUGAAUAAGCACCGGCUAACUCCGUGCCAGCAGCCGCGGUAAUACGGAGGGUGCAAGCGUUAUCCGGAAUCACUGGGUUUAAAGGGAGCGUAGGCGGCAUGAUAAGUCAGAGGUGAAAGGCUGUAGCUUAACUAUGGAAUUGCCUUUGAUACUGUUGUGCUUGAAUCGAGUUGAGGUCAGCAGAAUGUGACAUGUAGCGGUGAAAUGCAUAGAUAUGUCAUAGAAUACCAAUUGUGAAGACAGCUGGCUGGACUUGUAUUGACGCUGAGGCUCGAAAGCGUGGGGAGCAAACAGGAUUAGAUACCCUGGUAGUCCACGCCCUAAACGAUGUUUACUCGAUGUUGGCUUUUGAAGUCAGCGUCCAAGGGAAACCAUUAAGUAAACCACCUGGGGAGUACGUCGGCCACGAUGAAACUCAA
rnacentral:rRNA from 1 species